GUCUCCACCCCACAGGUCAUGUUUUUACUCCAUGGAAUAACGCUGCAGAAGAAUGCUGCCUUCCUGCCCUCCUGGAGCUUGUCAUCUUGUGGGAGAGGGCCAUAAAAACCCAAUAAAGAAUAGACAAUCAACAAAACAGCUAUGAAUUGUCCUCAUGGCCCUGAAAGAGAUGAACAGGAUGCUGAGAGAAGAAUUUGGGAAGAGAAUGGUUGGGAGAGCCUGGUAGGGGAGUUGAACUCUCCAUGGAUGAAGAAACAUAUUGCCAGGAAACCAUGUGAAACACAAUCACUCAAGUGACAACCAGAAGAAAGAUAUGAUCCCCAAGCACUGAUACCACAACAGUUGAGAAGAGAGAAAGUUGGUAAUUAAAUCCUCGGACGUUCAAGCUGAGCAUGCCGGGUUCAUCGCAGCCUCGAAACUUGAAGGCUCCAGGUUGCUGAGAUGGCUCGGCAGAUCAUCUCAGCUUGCCAGGGAACCUGUCAACACGAGCCCACCCCUGCAACUGACUCCUGAAGGCCAUCGUCCUCUGACCCUCCAGGCUACUGUGGUACCCACACAUCAUAAUCAUUAAAAAAGCAAACCUCAGCGUUCCGACGGGUUUUUAAGAA